UCCUCUUGGAAGUCAUUCAGGAUCAUCAUGUAACUGUGUUUCCAAACCUGGGGCACUUCAGAAUCACCUGGGUUUUUUUUUUUAAUGUUUUCCCUUUUUUUUUUGCUGGGACUACAGGCACAUGCCACCAUGCCUGGCUAAUUCUUGUAUUUUUUGUAGAGACAGGGUUUUUCCAUAUUGCCCAUGCUGGUCUCAAACUCUCCUGGGUUCAAGCAAUCCUCCCGCCUUGGCCUUCCAAACAUGCUGAGAUUACAGGCAUGAGCCACCGUGCCUGACUAUUACUCUUAAUAUCUUAGCUGAUUCUUUCAGAUUAUUUUAGUAUCUCUCUCUUUUUUUUUUUUUUUUUUUGAGAUGGAGUUUCGCUCUUGUUGCCCAGGCUGGAGUGCAAUGGCACAAUCUCGGCUCACCGCAACCUCUGCCUCCUGGGUGCAAGCUAUUCUCCUGCCUCAUCCUUCCGAGUAGCUGGGAUUACAGGCAUGUGCCACCACGCCUGGCUAAUUUUGUAUUUUCAGUAGAGAUGGGGUUUCUCCAUGUUGGUCAGGCUGGUCUCGAACUCCCGACCUCAGAUGACCUGUCCGCCUCAGCCUCCCAAAGUGCUGGGAUUACAGGCACGAGCCACCACACCUGGCCUAUUUUAGUAUAUCUUAUCGUUCUGAUUUGUAUUGUUCCCAAUUAUUUUUCCUUACUAAAUGGUUUCAUUUUCUCGUUUAUCCUUUCAAACCUUUCAAGCUUUCUGGUUUCCUUUCACGUAUCCUUAAUUAUCUGUUUUUAUUGUUAUAUUUUCCUUUAAUUAAAAAAAUUGGCCAGGUGCAGUGGCUC
rnacentral:lncRNA from 1 species